ensembl:lncRNA
GCCGUGCACUAAUUCAAGGCGGAUACUAAUUUUAAGCAAAUCUUAGUUUGGUACACUUCUCUCUGUAACUUUUUUGAUUUUUUUUUUCAGGUCUGAUGUUCUAAUGUUCACAAUGAUGGGGAUCAGGGGAUUUGAAUUACAAAUCACGAGGGAGAUUUAUUACAUUUUCGCUUCUUUAACUACUAGCUGUUUUAAUAUUAGAGUAUUCCCUAUUUGAAUUGUAGCAUUUAUUUUAGUUGGUCUGGAUUGAGUAAAUUAAGACAAUUACACCCUGUUUCCGGUGUUACUGUAACAACUUGUCGAGGUGUAGUGUUGGAGGGAACCAGGCGCAGGCAGAUAUCACGUUCGUUGGUUUUAUUAAACAACAGACAAACCAAACACGAACGGAAAAACAAUACUAAUGACUGAAUGAAAUAAAAGUGCGCAACAUGCGUCUUAACAAUUAACAUUCAAACAGUACAUUCAAUAACACUCACCGAUUAACUAACAAACAGCAACAAUGACAGCGACAGCAACAAUGAUCCACAAUGUGGGGAGCAGAGGGGAAACAUAUAUACACAUACAAACGAGCUAGAUUGGGACCUGGUGUGGAAGAUGGGAAACAUGUGACAGUCCGGGAUGUGUUCGUGAGAAUAUGGGAACUUGUGGAAAUAUGGCACGGUGGCGCUGCUGCUCACCACACCAUGACAGUUACUUUUUGUCCAUAAGAGGGAACAUUUUUCUAAUCACACAGGACUAGACGCAGUCUGCUGCUCCACGCCAAUCACAAUACACAAUUAGUUUACACACACUUCCCCACCCCCUUUGCCACAGAGUAAAACUCAAAGAUCUGUUUGUUUUCUUACACUUAAUUCACUUAAUAUAGAGCCAGGCUUCUACCAUUUUCAGGCGGACACUUAUACUUCGUGAAUGUGUUACUUCAAACAGACCUUUCUGAUACGUUUUUUCAGUUUAAAAUCCUCCCCACAUUCCCCAGUCACUACAGAAUUGGCGCUGAUGGACGCUUCUCCUGUUUAAAACCACACUGCUUGAGCUCGCUCGCUCCCAAUUCAACAACCCAAUCUUUUUUAUGCAAUUAGUUAUUUACAUUUUAUCACAAAACACACACUGCGCGAGUCGCUGACACGGACUCAAAUUAUCAACACAAUUCUAUUUCAAAAUAUUUACAGUAGGCCUCUGUACAUUUCCUAAGUGUAUGUUCACACAAUUCGACUAUACCUAUGUUCAAAUUGAUUCCUAUUUCUGGCUAUUAACACGAGGAAAAAACUGAAAGCCCUUCCAAUGGCGCAUCUACGUCCGUCGUCACGCCAACGCCAGCGUUACCAAGUCCUUACUUCCGCAGCUGUAACAAGUAGAUUACCUACAACUAUUAAAGCUGGCUUUAAAAAACAGCGUUGUCACCCACUCUACGCAAACUCAAAACUUUAUACAGAUUCAACAAGGUCUCCUUAUGUCACCAGGUCUCGUUUAAAUAGAUCACAUAAAUUCAAGAAUUUACCCAGCGCUAAGCCGGCAACACCGUUAAAAAAAGUCUUAGUUUUAUCUUCGUGCCUAACAGAGUCUAUUACUCUGUUGCCGCCCCACGGCCUUUUUAUUUAAAAUUCGACUGAGUCUAAACUCGGCCGACCCAAUCCGGACAUUUAAUGUUUACUGAAAUUUUCCAGGCGUCCCAAGGCCUCCUCUUCGAGAACUCAUAAGUUUUCAAAAUGUAUACAUGUUCAACAGAGUAGCCCACCCAAAAUCAAUAAUCCACACAGGUUUACCCUGGUCGUAUCACAUGAAAUUAGGGUCUAUGUAUGUUGAACAAGGCCUAUUCUUUCAAGAUCUCAUACAUCCAAAACUUAAGCAUGUACCCUGGCCGUUCUCUCUCGGACUUCUAAUGCGCACUUACCAGGCACCCUUCCUCUGGCUUUUAAGACUAUCACAAACAAUCACACACAAUUCACAGACAUUGCUUUUGACUUAUCAUUUUCAACAUAGUUUUCAAUUGGAUAUUACUUUUAUCAAUAAUUUUUACAGAUUUGAAUAGACUUACGAGUUGAUGGCCGUUGACUCUUACAUCUAAUAUUUCUACACAAUCCUACGCCAAAUUCGAUUUAAAC